ensembl:lncRNA
UGUGUGUGUGUGUGUGUUUGGGGGUGGGGGGUGAGAUGAGUGUUUUUAUGUUGGGGGGUCUAUAUCCACACAUGUAUGUAUAUAUGUAUGUAUGUAUUCGUGGCAUGCAUGCGUACACACACACACACACACACACACACACACAAAUACAUACAUAUAUACAUACAUACAUGUGUAGAUAGAUAGAGAGACAGAUAGAUAGAUAGAUAGAAGGCACAAGUCUUACAACAUAAAAUCAAUUAUGAAUCAAUGUGCAAUAUUUUUUAUACCCUUCCCCCCCACACAUAACACUCAUCUCACCCACUCAGACACACACACUUCAUCCCUCUCACACAUAUGUACUUACCUGCCCCCCCCACCACCACCACAACCACACACACACACACUCACACACACAUACAUAUGACAUCUUUAAUGAUAUACUCUGAUCACAGUACCCAUGCACAGUAACUUGGUUGGGCAACCGCAUCAUUUCAUUAUGUCUUGCUGGAUAACUCUGUGUAUGUCACAAAUUAUCUUUGUAUUCUUCUAUAUUAACGAAAAGAUCACAUAAUGUUUGUUUGUCAUGUUUUACAGGAUUCUACACAUUUUCAGUCCAAGCCUGAUGCAGGGCAGUUCUCCCGGGUUAAGGGGUCCCUGCUGCAGUUUCACCAGUAAAGAAAAUUACUUGUUACAGUUCACUUGAAGGACCACAUAAGCCAUGCAGUGGUGCAUGGAGGAGCGCCAAGAGGACAUAAAGUGGAAGUUUGUAAGGGACAUUGGUCCAGCGUGGUACAGAGUCAUCGUAGGUUAUUCUGUGGGGAGGUGACAGGGCCUGCCGUUCUCCAGAUGGACAGUAAAAAUCAACAGAAUGCCAUCAAAGACUACCUGGAGGGAGAAUCGGAGGAUAUAUUGAAGCAAGGAAUCUCUCUGUGUAGUCUAUGUAUGUAUGUGUGUGUACUGCAUGUCAAGAACUGUUUAUCUGAUCAUUCAGCUGCUCAGACUUUAUAAUAUUUGGAGCAUACCUUUUGUUAAACAACCAGUCAAAAGUUUUUGAACAGUGAGAUUUUUUUAUGUUUUUAAAGAAAUAUCUUCUGCUCAUCAAGCCUGCAUUUAUUUAAUCCGAAGUACAGCAAAAACAGUCCAAUUUUAAAAUAUUUGUAUAAUAUUUUGCUUUUGUAAUAUAUUUUGCUAUUUAAAAUAACAAUUUUCUAUAUUUCUAUUAAAAUGAAAUUUAUUCCUGUGAUUUCAAAGGUGACUUACUCCAGUCACAUGAUCCUUCAUUCUAAUAUGCUGAUUUGAUGCUCAAAAAACAUUUUAUUAUUAUUAUGUUAAUACACUGAAGACUGGAGUAAUGAUGAAGAAAAUUCAGCUUUGAUCACAGGAAUAAACUGCAUUUUUAAAAUACAUUCAAAUAGAAAGCAGUUCUUUUAAAUUGUAAAAAUAUUUCACAUUACUGUUUUUGCUGUGUUUUUGGAUCAAAUAAAUCCUGGCUUGGUGAGCAGAAGAGACUUUAAAAAAUAAUAAAAAUCUUACUGUUCAAAAACUGGUGGUGUAUAUUAUUAUUAUUAUUAUUAUUAUUAUUUGUAAAAUUGUACAUGUAAUUAUUUUUGUAAAAUAAUAAAUAUAAAAAUA